rnacentral:rRNA from 1 species
AUGAACGCUGGCGGCGUGCCUAAUACCUGCAAGUCGAGCGAACAGACGAGGAGCUUGCUCCUCUGACGUUAGCGGCGGACGGGUGAGUAACCCGUGGAUAACCUACCUAUAAGACUGGGAUAACUUCGGGAAACCGGAGCCAAUACCGGAUAAUAUAUUGAACCGCAUGGUUCAAUAGUGAAAGACGGUUUUGCUGUCACUUAUAGAUGGAUCCGCGCCGCAUUAGCUAGUUGGUAAGGUAACGGCUUACCAAGGCAACGAUGCGUAGCCGACCUGAGAGGGUGAUCGGCCACACUGGAACUGAGACACGGUCCAGACUCCUACGGGAGGCAGCAGUAGGGAAUCUUCCGCAAUGGGCGAAAGCCUGACGGAGCAACGCCGCGUGAGUGAUGAAGGUCUUCGGAUCGUAAAACUCUGUUAUUAGGGAAGAACAAAUGUGUAAGUAACUAUGCACGUCUUGACGGUACCUAAUCAGAAAGCCACGGCUAACUACGUG